AGCGUCAAAAUCUACAGUUGAAAAGAAGCAGUAACCUGCAAUGACAGGGAGGUUCAUAAAAUACAAAAAGGUCAGCAAGCGAUCUCAGUAAGACUGUUCUGGAAAUCAUGUGAUUGAUCACCUCUGGCUCCUGCUUCCAUUACAUAUGAGCCUGAAGAUGACAGGAGCUACAGAGUUU